UGGGAGCCUCGCUACUGUUAUUUUCGGGUGGCGAUGGCGUUUUUUUCUUUGGUGCUUACUUUUCCAAUCCAAGGUCGUGCUGCUGUCGAGUUGCGGGGCCGCUCUUGCGUGGCACCUUUCCCUGUGCGCUAAUAAUACUUUUCAGAGACGACCUCUAUCGUAAAAGUAGCAAGUUGACGAGACGCAAACCUGAAGAUAUUCAAGCAGCACUUUGAGUGCAAGCAGCCCAAAUAUUGAAUGUUCCCAGAACUGGUUGAUGUGCAGGCCUAAGUGACCACACACACUCAAAUGGACCUACAGCUAGGACACACACUGACCAUGAUUUGAAUGCUGCAGCUGAGACGGAAUGAUGUUGAGGGACACACGCUAAGAACCAGAGUAUGACUGGACAUGGGAGGGCCUGAUAUUUGUGACCACGACAUAAAAGGGUUGCAGAAGCAUACCAUCACACCAUUUUAUGUUUAUUCUAUGGCCAACUACGUCUCUAGCCCACCUGAAAUCACAAUAUGCUGUUUUACAUGUUAUUUGUGCUGGUCUAAUUCCUUUUAUGGAAAAGCAGAAGAAUCUGUGCGCUCUCAUGUAUUAAUAAUAGUUAAUAUGGUGCUCUUCGAUGUCACCAGGUUUGUGGCAAUAAUUAAUAAAUCAUUUAAUAUUUACUUCUAGUCAAAUGUUUAUGUUAUGUAUAAAAGGCAUAUCUAUU